UCAGCUGUGGGGCCACUGAAGGCAGGAUCAGUGAUGACCUCCACCAUGGCAUGGUCCCCUCUCCUCCUCACCCUCCUCGCUCACUGCACAGGGUCCUGGGACCAGUCUGUGCUGACUCAGCCGCCCUCAGUGUCGGGAUCUGUGGGCCAGAGAAUCACCAUCUCCUGCUCUGGAAGCACAAACAGCUACCAACAGCUCUCAGGAAAGGCCUCUAAACUCCUCGUAGAUGGUACUGGGAACCGACCCUCAGGGGUCCCCGACCGAUUUUCUGGCUCCAAAUCUGGCAACUCAGGCACUCUGACCAUCACUGGGCUUGGGACGAGGCUGAGGACGAGGCUGAGGACGAGGCUGAUUAUUAUUGUUAGUCCACUGAUCUCACGCUUGGUGCUCCCACAGUGCUCUGGGCCUACGGGGAAGUGA